rnacentral:lncRNA from 1 species
CGUAUGUCUAUCACGUGCAACGCACAUGCUGGUUAUUUCUUUUUUUUUUGCUUCUUCUUCAUGGGACAGAGGACCCACGCAGUCCUCUUUCUUCUUUCCACAAAACAGGAAACUCCUUAUUCCCUUGAUCCCAAUGCUAAGGGGGUCCACCUCCUGGCCGGCAACACUCAUAGUCGGAGGAGCAGGUCAUGGUGGCAAUCGACGACCCC